AUGGCCUUUCUAUUCCUGCUCCUUCCCGAGCCAAGCGGCGGGAUCACCUGCCUUGCAUGGGUCUCUCGGCAUUUAGCAAGCUGCUUGUCAUCUCUGGCCAUGGACUCUGAGGGAUCAGAACUGGCUCUGAGUCACUCUGGAAUGAAGUAUCUUCAGAAUUCAAAUUCCUUUUCCUUUUGGUCAGAACUGGGCUUCUGUCGCUGUUUUCGUGACGCGAGCCAAGCCAUCCCUCCUUCUCCAGCAGAGACAGGAUCAGGCCCCAGCCCUUGAAAUUGGCCAUCGGAGGCCUCUAAGCGCGAUGCCAGGGUGGGAGGCAGGCAGGUGCUCAGCCAGUCCCAUGGGUUGGAGUCGAGUGGGACACGCCCCUCUGAACUCCAAGGACCACGACCUUCCCCCACAUUGUAAUGGGGCAACAGUCUGUCACUUCCCUCUUAAAGAGACAUGAUUUGACUAUGAAUGUAAAAAUUGUCCAGACUUAGGUAUGGUUACCUCAUCUGGGAUGUGAUCUGAUUUUAGUUGCCACUGACAAUGUUACAGAGUCAGGGGAAAACGUGAAUCAAAAAACCAUCAGCCUGGAACUUCCCUGGUGGUCCAAGGUCUAAGACUCCGUGCUCCCAAUGCAGGGGGCCCAGGCUUGAUUCCUGGUCAGGGAACUAGAUCCCACAUGCUGCAACUAAGACCCCACAUGCCACAGCUAAGAUCUAGCACGGCCAAGAACAAACAAACAAACAAAAAACCACACCAGCCUGCCCUGACAUUCUCACCCAGCAAAUGUGCUUCUGGAAAUCACUCUAAUUCCAUCCCCUAGUAGUAAUCACUUAAAGUGCAUGAGACUUGGGUUCCAGGGAAUUCAGCACAUCAGCCACUUAACUGUUCCAGGAGGGGGAUUGCUGAGAAGUGUUAUCUGCUCACCCAGGUACACAUGCAUCCAAAACACACAUGCACGCACACACACGCACACACGCGCACACACACACACGCACACACACGCAUACCCAUACACAGGAACCAACACACAUUGACAUACCUGUGUAUACACACAUGCACACACAGAAACACAUCGGGUACACAGACACAUAUACACGUGUACACACACAUAUACUCCCCCAAGCUAACGUGAGAAAACUGGAUGCAAACACUCAUAAGACACUUGCCAUUUUCUUACUCUGGAUGUUUCUACUAAACUGAAGGUUGACUAGAUCCCCGGGCUCAGGAGGGAGAAACAAAUGAUCCUUAUAGUAAAAGGAGGGGACUCUUAUGUGUACAUGUUUGCCCACUUGCAGUUAGUUCUCUCUGCAGAGAAGUUCCUCAUCCUGGGGUUCUGCUCUGAACUGUACCUCUGUCACCCUACUUGGUGACACAACCUCUCCAUCCCAGAUCUAGG
rnacentral:tRNA from 1 species